rnacentral:rRNA from 1 species
CGUGGAUCGAUUUGUCUGGUUUAUUCCGAUAACGAGCGAGACUCUAGCCUACUAAAUAGUGACAGGAUUACUACUGUCCUGAGUACUUCUUAGAGGGAUUUUCGGUGUUCAGCCGCACGAGAUUGAGCAAUAACAGGUCUGUGAUGCCCUUAGAUGUCCGGGGCUGCACGCGCGCUACACUGGCGAAAUCAGCGUGCUGUACCCUCCCUCGAAAGAGAUGGGUAAACCCAUAAAAAUUUGCCGUGCUUGGGAUCGGAAAUUGCAAUUAUUUUCCGUGGACGAGGAAUUCCGAGUAAGUGCGAGUCAUCAACUCGCUCUGAAUACGUCCCUGCCCUUUGUAC